rnacentral:rRNA from 1 species
AUUGAACGCUGGCGGCAGGCUUAACACAUGCAAGUCGAGCGAGGUGAUGGUGCUUGCACUAUCACUUAGCGGCGGACGGGUGAGUAAUGCUUAGGAAUCUGCCUAUUAGUGGGGGACAACAUCUCGAAAGGGAUGCUAAUACCGCAUACGUCCUACGGGAGAAAGCAGGGGAUCACUUGUGACCUUGCGCUAAUAGAUGAGCCUAGUCGGAUUAGCUAGUUGGUGGGGUAAAGGCCUACCAAGGCGACGAUCUGUAGCGGGUCUGAGAGGAUGAUCCGACACACUGGGACUGAGACACGGACCAGACUCCUACGGGAGGCAGCAGUGGGGAAUAUUGGACAAUGGGGGGAACCCUGAUCCAGCCAUGCCGCGUGUGUGAAGAAGGCCUUAUGGUUGUAAAGCACUUUAAGCUAGGAGGAGGCUCUUUUGGUUAAUACCCAAGAUGAGUGGACGUUACUCGCAGAAUAAGCACCGGCUAACUCUGUGCCAGCCGCCGCAGUAA